rnacentral:rRNA from 1 species
GACGAACGCUGGCGGCGUGCUUAACACAUGCAAGUCGAACGGAAAGGCUCUGCUUUUGUGGGGUGCUCGAGUGGCGAACGGGUGAGUAACACGUGAGUAACCUGCCCUUGACUUUGGGAUAACUUCAGGAAACUGGGGCUAAUACCGGAUAGGAGCUCCUGCUGCAUGGUGGGGGUUGGAAAGUUUCGGCGGUUGGGGAUGGACUCGCGGCUUAUCAGCUUGUUGGUGGGGUAGUGGCUUACCAAGGUUUUGACGGGUAGCCGGCCUGAGAGGGUGACCGGCCACAUUGGGACUGAGAUGCGGCCCAGACUCCUACGGGGGGCAGCAGUGGGGAAUAUUGCACAAUGGGCGGAAGCCUGAUGCAGCAACGCCGCGUGCGGGAUGACGGCCUUCGGGUUGUAAACCGCUUGCGCCUGUGACGAAGCGUGAGUGACGGUAAUGGGUAAAGAAGCACCGGCUAACUACGUG